GGCUUUGAUAAAAUAUUUUGGGCACACGUUUGUGCCAUAUAAGGAAGUUGGGGGACAAGUUUGUGCCAUAUAUGGAAGCAUGGUUUCCUCGCGCUUCGAACGAUUAAAUAAUUCGAUGAUCCUACCCUCUUAUUAUUGGUGAAAAUCACAGACGUUAAUACUUCGUGUGAACCGCGAAAGCUUGGGUUCUAAUGUAAAUAAAUAUGG